GGAGGGAUCAUUAACACUUGUCUUGAAUAAUGCAAAUUAUUCAAGUCAAACUAAACAACCGCGUGAACUCGGUGAAGUUCCGAAAGGAAUGGAACCAAUCUUUCCCAGAAAAUGAUUGUGACGGACUGGAGUUGGGAUGGAUGAUCUAAUCGGCUAUUAUGUGAACUCACAGCAUAAUAGGACGGCUAGCUUGUUUGACCGUCGCAAAGCAAUCAUUUUUUGGCUACCCCCCGAGAAGACGAAAAAGGAGUACCACCUAGUCCUGCUGUACAGUCUCAGGUAUAGCUUAGUCUUCUCAAACCCUACCACUAAAACAUUUGACUAAAACAAACUAGAAUCGCGAAAGUGAUACUAGACUAAGAUUUAUUCUUAACUAAGCACAACUCUUAGCAACGGAUAUCUUGGUUCUCGCAACGAUGAAGAACGCAGCGAAAUGCGAUAUGUAAUGCGAAUUGCAGAAUUCAGUGAAUCAUCAAAUCUUUGAACGCAAAUGGCGCUCUCGGGAUAGACCCAAGAGCACGCCUCUCUCAGUAUCGGUGAUCUUAUACUCGGAACCAAAUUGAUUUAUUUCAGUUUUGGGAAGGAAAAUGAGAGUCUUACGACCAUUCUUAUGGCAACAUAGGAAUAAAUGUAAGUCUUUUGAAAGUCACUCGUAAUGAUGUCGUGAACCUUCUCUCCUAAUGUGUCUUGUGAAAGCAGGACUAACCUUUGGUAGUAACCAUUGGGAUUAGUGACGUGGAUAAUCUUUGCAAAAAGAACGAAACGUCAAUUAACUGAUCUUAAUAGUGAAAUCUUAGUGUGAAUAGUUAGAAAAGAAUAGUAACGAAAAAAGGAAUUUAUUAAGUCUUUUCGGAGACUUAGCAAACUCUCUCAUUCGAUCUGAGAUGAAGCGAGACUACCCCCUGAAUUUAAGCAUAUUAUUAAGGGGAGGAAAAGAAAAUAACAAUGAUGCCCCCAGUAACGGCGAGUGAAGCGGGCAUAGCUCAAACUGAAAAUCCAGGAUCUAAACAGGUCUUUGGAAUUGUAAUCUAGUCGACUUGCUAUCAGCGUGUGACUCAAGUACAAGUCCUUUGGAAGAAGGCAUCAAAGAGGGUGAGAAUCCCGUCUCUGACUUGAGCAAUACAAUUCACCGCGUACGAUGCAUGUUCAUUGAGUCGAGUUGCUUGGGAUUGCAGCUCUAAAUGGGUGGUAAGUUUCAUCUAAAGCUAAAUAUUGGCGAGAGACCGAUAGCGAACAAGUACCGUGAGGGAAAGAUGAAAAGAACUUUGAAAAGAGAGUUAAAAAGUACUUGAAAUUGCUAAGAGGGAAGCGCUAGAAACCAGAGGAUUGUACCAGUUACAUUUUGUCAUUCAAGUGGUAGUUUGCGGCGUGUCCAGUUGGCAACUCUGGUAGCGUCGUAUAAUUGUUACUUUGGUGAUCCUGUGUGAUUGGGAUGUCAGAAUGAGUUCGAUGGGCAGGAGAAACGGUUUGAGAAGGUAGGAUAGUAGCAAUACUAUCUGUUAUAGCUCAGAUUGGAUACUGUCUAUUGGACUGAGGAACUUCAUGGUGCGCCACUAGGCAUGUCACUCUGUUUCUUUCAGGUGGUUAUUGUAGCACGACAAUGUCUUGCUGCGGUAAUUCACUUGUUAUGGAGCGGAAAUGAUAUUUGCAUCGUAUGUUGAUUCUGACUCAAUGGUUUCUAUCGACCCGUCUUGAAACACGGACCAAGGAGUCUAACAUAUAUGCAAGUAUUUGGGUGUGAAAACCCGAAAUGCGUAAUGAAAGUAAAGGUAGCGUAAGCUACUGUGGUAGGAAACCGAAACAGUAAAUCUGUUAGGUGGCACUAUCGACCGAUCUUCACUUGUGAGCGAUUUGAGUAAGAGCAUAUCUGUUGGGACCCGAAAGAUGGUGAUCUAUGCCUGAACAUGGUGAAGCCAGGAGAAAUUCUGGUGGAGGCUCGUAGCGAUACUGACGUGCAAAUCGUUCGUCUGAUUUGGGUAUAGGGGCGAAAGACUAAUCGAACUAUCUAGUAGCUGGUUCCCUC
rnacentral:misc_RNA from 1 species